AUUGAACGCUGGCGGCAGGCCUAACACAUUCAAGUCGAACGAGUGGCGGACUGGUGAGUAAUGUCUGGGAAACUGCCCGAUGGAGGGGGAUAACUACUGGAAACGGUAGCUAAUACCGCAUACCAUCAGAUGUGCCCCGAUGGGAUUAGCUAGUAGGUGGGGUAACGGCUCACCUAGGCGACGAUCCCUAGCUGGUCUGAGAGGAUGACCAGCCACACUGGAACUGAGACACGGUCCAGACUCCUACGGGAGGCAGCAGUGGGGAAUAUUGCACAAUGGGCGCAAGCCUGAUGCAGCCAUGCCGGGUGUAUGAGGGAGGCCUUCGGGUUGGAAAGUACUUUGAGCGUGGGUGCGUUACCCUCAGAUGAAGCACCGGCUAAUUCCGUGCCAGCAGCCGCGGUAAUAC
rnacentral:rRNA from 1 species